GCUGACCUUCCGACCCGGGCCGACCCAAAGAUCUCCUCUGAUCCGCCGCCGCCUCCCCUGCAGCCGUCCCGCCGUGCCUUACCGCCAGCCACCGCCGACCCUUCACCCCCUCCCCCUCUCACCCCACCCCCCUCGUACUCGAGCCCAUCGCCGCUCUCGGGUGCCCUCAUCGUCACAUCACGUUCCCGCCGUCUCCGCCCUCGCAGCAAUCUUUGGAUUUUGAGGAACACACCAUGGAGAUCAGGCCAAUGGUAGCCCUGCGUGCCGCCCUAGUAGGCGGGGUAGCUGCAUUCGCAAAGAUCGCUGGGGCGAUGAAAGCUGCAGGCGGCGUGAAGGUUGGCGCUGCGGCUGCAGCCAUGACAGCUGCAGCGACGGCCGCUGUAUCCGGAAAAGACGCUGGUAAUGAUAACCAAAAGCCGGGGGCAAAAUGAUACGUGCCACGGAUUUGGUGGAGAGGCAGUGUUCUAAAAUGCUUCUCCAUAGUGUAGACCAGCAUUUCAGCAGUUUAUCAGUGCUGAAGAGCUGCGGAAGCUAAUUGUGGCCUUCAGGAGGAGACCGCAUUCACAAUAAAUAAGUUUUGCCAGCGCAAUUCCCAUGAUACAUGUGUUUUUUAUAAACUCGGGGUAUAAGAAUUAUGAUGCCCUGAUUUUUUGUUCC